GAAAUGCGAUAAGUAGUGUGAAUUGCAGAAUUCAGUGAAUCAUCGAAUCUUUGAACGCACAUUGCGCCCUUUGGUAUUCCAAAGGGCAUGCCUGUUCGAGCGUCAUUUGUACCCUCAAGCUUUGCUUGGUGUUGGGCGUCUUGUCUCUAGCUUUGCUGGAGACUCGCCUUAAAGUAAUUGGCAGCCGGUCUACUGGUUUCGGAGCGCAGCACAAGUCGCACUCUCUAUCAGCAAAGGUCUAGCAUCCAUUAAGCCUUUUUUUCAACUUUUGACCUCGGAUCAGGUAGGGAUACCCGCUGAACUUAAGC
rnacentral:misc_RNA from 1 species